GAUGAACGCUGGCGGCGUGCCUAAUACAUGCAAGUCGAGCGGUAAGGCUUCUUCGGAAGUACACGAGCGGCGGACGGCUGAGUAAUGCAUAGGAACGUACCCCAAACUGAGGGAUAAGCCACCGAAAGGUGGUCUAAUACCGCAUGUGCUCUUCGGAGUAAAGCUACGGCGGUUUGGGAGCGGCCUAUGUUCAAUCAGCUUGUUGGUGAGGUAAUGGCUCACCAAGGCGACGAUCGAUAGCGGGUCUGAGAGGAUGAUCCGCCAGACUGGAACUGAGACACGGUCCAGACUCCUACGGGAGGCAGCAGUAGGGAAUUUUCCACAAUGGGGGCAACCCUGAUGGAGCAACGCCGCGUGCAGGAUGAAGGCCUUCGGGUUGUAAACCUCUUUUAGCAGGGAAGAAGCGAAAGUGACGGUACCUGCAGAAAAAGCACCGGCUAACUACGUGCCAGCCGCCGCGGUAA
rnacentral:rRNA from 1 species